CCCGCACAAGCGGUGGAGCAUGUGGUUUAAUUCGAUGAUACGCGAGGAACCUUACCUGGGCUCAAAUGUAUGUUGACGUAUUCUGAAAGGGAUACUUCUUCGGACAAUAUACAAGGUGCUGCAUGGUUGUCGUCAGCUCGUGCCGUGAGGUGUCGGGUUAAGUCCCAUAACGAGCGCAACCCCUAUCAUUAGUUGCCAUCAGGUCAAGCUGGGGACUCUAAUGAAACUGCCUACGCAAGUAGUGAGGAAGUGGGGAUGACGUCAAAUCAGCACGGCCCUUACGUCCAGGGCUACACACGUGCUACAAUGGCCGAUACAGAGGGCAGCUACCUGGUGACAGGAUGCAAAUCUCCAAAGUCGGUCUCAGUUCGGAUCGGAGUCUGCAACCCGACUCCGUGAAGUUGGAUUCGCUAGUAAUCGCGCAUCAGCCAUGGCGCGGUGAAUACGUUCCCGGGCCUC
rnacentral:rRNA from 1 species